UGAAAAUCAUUUCAUGAUGUAUGUAAGUCACAUCAUUAUGCUGUAUAACUUAAACUUAGAUAGUGUUGUAUGUCAGUUAUAUCUCAAUAAAAAUCCCAAUAAAACUGAAAUGGUAAAAAAAGGUCUAUCUUAAAUUUCUAUAUUCACCUUUUUUUACCUGGCCUGAGGCAUCAAUUCAGGCCCAGCACAACUCUGGCCAGUAAAUUGAAGCUGACCUGAAAGCCUUCCAGGGCCGAGGCAGCAUCUGCAGAGAAAGGAUGCACACAUUAGAAGUACAAUCCCCGAGGGCACACAUUGUCCCCCUGGAAACCAAGAGUUUAUCAUUGUUAGGGCUCCCCAAGCAGGAUGUACAUUAGUCAGACAGUACAUAUUAUAUUAAAUUUCUUAUAAAACUUCCCCCUUUAUUUCUUUUAAUCCAUAAUCCUACAGAGCCUAUUUUAUGUUUCUUGUUAUUACAAUAAUUGCUAACCCAUGGAUAGUUAGAAUUUCAUCUAAAAAAUUUGUUUUUUCUACCUCUUUUUUGCAGGAUUAUCAUUGGUGGUGGAGAGCCUUUUUUACCAGCAGUUUUACAGCUGUUUACCUUCUUUUGUAUGCAGUUUAUUACUUCUUUACCAAACUUCAAAUCAUGGGCAUUGCAAACACCAUUUUGUACUUUGGGUACACGAUGAUCAUGGUCUUGAUUUUCUUCCUUUUCACAGGGACACUUGGAUUUUUUUCCUGCUUCUGUUUUAUUACUAAAAUCUACAGUGUGGUGAAAGUGGAUUAAAGAAUGUCCCCAGAGGCUUCCAGGCACAUCACCCUUGCUUUUGAAUAUAUAUCUGUAGCUAUAUGAACAUCUAUAGAGAUAUAUAUGUAUGCUUCCAAUUGCAUGUUUUUAAUAUCUAUCAAUUUAAAAACCUCAUUGUCCGGCCUCAGUUUGUAUGACACAAAAUACGAUUGUAUGGACAAAAAAGAAACAGGUUGGAAGGUAGGUUCAUUCUAAGUAAUAUUUUCCUGAAACAAUACCAUAAAAGGGUUUGAUUUAAAGCAAUUAGAACAAAGGAAGCACAUUUCCUUAAAAAAUUAAAGUUGAGUAGACUGGAUUUUUGAAUGAAAAGUUUUUUCCUUUUUUUCUUCUUUAUCUGCUUAGAGCAUCAGAACUACUGUCAAAUAACUCUUAGGUAAAAUGUGAAAUUUUCCAAUUUAAGUUGAUUGUACAAACUAUUUUACACCUUUGUAUCUGGGUGAUCACUUAAAAAUAUGCGUUGGUUUAGCAUAUAGAAUUUAUGGAAUAGCAGAUACUGCUGUCUUAUUCCUCAAUUAAAUCAGCACAUUUCUGGUU